GCAACUAUACUGUGAAACUGCGAAUGGCUCGGUGGGCCAUUCCAGGCAUCAGCGGGGCGCGAAGUGCCCUGUAACAUUGCUAUUAUGGGGAGUUAAUCCUCAGCCACUCCGUGGUUCAACGACUAAAUAGCGAUGGUCCCUUGCAAAAUAGGGAUUAAGAGAUAGUCUCAACUGCAAGCGCGAGCCUGUAGACCAAUUGCAUUAUAUCAGUUAUCGUUUAUUUGAUAGUACCUACCUACUUGGAUAACCGUGGUAAUUCUAGAGCUAAUACAUGCUAAAAGCCUCGACUUCGGAAGGGGUGUAUUUAUUAGAUAAAAAACCAAUGCCCUUCGGGGCUCCUUGGUGAUUCAUAAUAACUAAACGAAUCGCAUGGCCUUGUGCCGGCGAUGGUUCAUUCAAAUUUCUGCCCUAUCAACUUUCGAUGUUAGUGUAGUGGACUAACAUGGUUUCAACGGGUAACGGGGAAUUAGGGUUCUAUUCCGGAGAGGGAGCCUGAGAGACGGCUGGAUGGGCCGUUUAGAUAGCGGAGCGAUGCUCUGUAACAUUGCUAUUAUGGGGAGAGAAUCCUCAGCCACCUCCUAACCGAGGUCGGUCCAACGACUAAAUAGCGAUGGUCCCCCCCGGGGAUUAAGAUAUAGUCUCAACUGGCUGCGCGAGCAAUCAGACAUCUUGACCACAUCCAAGGAAGGCAGCAGGCGCGCAAAUUACCCAAUAGCGACACGCUGAGGUAGUGACAAUAAAUACUGAUACAGGGCUCUUUUGGGUCUUGUAAUUGGAAUGAGUACAGUUUAAAUCCCUUGAAUUCGUUAGGGGAUGAUUUAGAGAUGUCAGCCCUGUGGCUGGCAACACCUAUCUCUUUCGGGAAUUUCGCAAGGAAAAUCCGAAGCCCCCAGGGGUUAAGAGACUAGAUAUAGGUGGGCACCUACCCCGGUGCUUGAGGUAUAGCCCAAUCUGUAGUGAGACACUACGGUAUAAAUGUAACGAGGAACAAUUGGAGGGCAAGUUCUGGUGGACCUAGGUCCCAGCUAAGCAAGCCUACGGGCAAGCUGCUGACGCCAGGAAGAAGUUAUCAUAGGGCAACCUUUGAUUAAUUUAGUGAGCAAUUCAUCUCACUAGGUAUCCGGUACGGGGAAGAGCUCACUGUAGCUUAAUCUCGUGGCAUCGCUAAUUAGCGAUGUCUUAACGCGCGGAUAGGAUACCGGUAGCCUGUGGCUACUUGAGGGACGUGCUAAUCUUGCCCCGCAAGGCGCGAGAAUUGAUGGCCAGCAGCCGCGGUAAUUCCAGCUCCAAUAGCGUAUAUUAAAGUUGUUGCAGUUAAAAAGCUCGUAGUUGAACCUUGGGCCUGGCUGGUCGGUCCGCCUCACCGCGUGCACUGAUCCGGCCGGGCCUUUCCUUCUGGGGAAUCGCAUGCCCUUCAUUGGGUGUGUUGAGGAUCCAGGACUUUUACUUUGAAAAAAUUAGAGUGUUCAAAGCAGGCCUAUGCUCGAAUACAUUAGCAUGGAAUAAUAGAAUAGGACGUGUGGUUCUAUUUUGUUGGUUUCUAGGACCGCCGUAAUGAUUAAUAGGGAUAGUCGGGGGUGUCAGUAUUCAAUUGUCAGAGGUGAAAUUCUUGGAUUUAUUGAAGACUAACUACUGCGAAAGCAUUCACCAAGGAUGUUUUCAUUAAUCAGUGAACGAAAGUUAGGGGAUCGAAGACGAUUUUUGGUCGUCCAUAGUGAUCUAGUCUACCGUUUGGUAGGCCACACCAUCCAUCUGAGGGGUCGCCCGCUAGGGCUAAUCCACAGCUGGGUCUCUCCCCGAGAGACCCAGUCCACAGACUGAACGAUGGUGGGCUCGGUGCCUAUGCCCGGGUUUUUAAUACAGCCGGUCGGGCGCUGCUAAAGCGCCUGAGAGAACGCAGAUACCGUCGUAGUCUUAACCAUAAACUAUGCCGACUAGGGAUCGGGCGAUGUUAUUUUUUGACUCGCUCGGCACCUUACGAGAAAUCAAAGUCUUUGGGUUCUGGGGGGAGUAUGGUCGCAAGGCUGAAACUUAAAGAAAUUGACGGAAGGGCACCACCAGGAGUGGAGCCUGCGGCUUAAUUUGACUCAACACGGGGAAACUCACCAGGUUAACUCAACGCUGUUACAACGUCUGGGCCUGGGAAGGCAGAAAUGCCAGGGCUGUUCUUACAGCUCAACACAUGCCGGUACAGGGAACAGUCACGCUGUGACUACAAUCCUGUGGUGAGCUCGCAAGAGCCGCCGCAACGCACGACAGGCUGUGGACUCUCUAUGGAGGGUUUCUUAUACGUGCUAAUCCCGAGAGUAGUUCUCGGGUAUUUCGAUGCCAGACUAAAGAAGGAUUGACAGAUUGAGAGCUCUUUCUUGAUUUUUAGGUUGGUAUGCAUUGCCAAUCAGGGUCGACUUUAGGGUCGAUCAGUCUACCAUUCAUGGUAGGCAACGCUUCUACAGUGCUGGAAUCUUGCCCCUGGGCGAGAACCAGCAGCCAGCUUCAGCUGGCUCACAGACUAAACAGAGGCGGGCUGCUCCGCAGUUAGAGAUAUAGCCGAACCUCUAGGUGAGAGCCUAGGGUUAUCGUGGGUGCAUGGCCGUUCUUAGUUGGUGGAGUGAUUUGUCUGCUUAAUUGCGAUAACGAACGAGACCUUAACCUGCUAAAUAGCCAGGCUAGCUUUGGCUGGUCGCCGGCUUCUUAGAGGGACUAUCGGCUCAAGCCGAUGGAAGUUUGAGGCAAUAACAGGUCUGUGAUGC
rnacentral:rRNA from 1 species